CUUCUGAGAAGGGUUCGAG
rnacentral:snRNA from 1 species